GUACUGCUGAACAGUCGCAGACAAGAACGAAACAGUUGUCCAGUAC
rnacentral:hammerhead_ribozyme from 1 species